AUCGCUUCUCGGCCUUAUGGCUAAGCUCAAAGUGUAGUAUUUGUUCUUAUCAGCUUAACAUCUGAUAGAUCCUCCAUCGGAGGACAUCAAAUGUUAAACUGAUUUUUGGAAAUCGAUGUAGUGUUUUAGGGGCUUGCUCCACCUCCAUCUAGUGAUGAGCGAAGUAGCGAUUUUUAGUUUCAGUGAAAAGAGU